rnacentral:rRNA from 1 species
CCUACGGGGUGCACCAGUGGGGAAUAUUGCACAAUGGGCGCAAGCCUGAUGCAGCCAUGCCGCGUGCGUGAAGAAGGCCUUCGGGUUGUAAAGCACUUUCAGCGGGGAGGAAGGCGGUGAGGUUAAUAACCUCAUCGAUUGACGUUACCCGCAGAAGAAGCACCGGCUAACUCCGUGCCAGCAGCCGCGGUAAUACGGAGGGUGCAAGCGUUAAUCAGAAUUACUGGGCGUAAAGCGCACGCAGGCGGUCUGUCAAGUCGGAUGUGAAAUCCCCGGGCUCAACCUGGGAACUGCAUUCGAAACUGGCAGGCUAGAGUCUUGUAGAGGGGGGUAGAAUUCCAGGUGUAGCGGUGAAAUGCGUAGAGAUCUGGAGGAAUACCGGUGGCGAGGGCGGCCCCCUGGACAAAGACUGACGCUCAGGUGCGAAAGCGUGGGGAGCAAACAGGAUUAGAUACCCUUGUAGUCA